CCUUGCCAGCCCGCUCAGAAACUCAAAGGAAGUUGACGGGGGCCCGCACAAGCGGUGGAGUAUGUGGUUUAAUUCGAUGCAACGCGAAGAACCUUACCUGGUCUUGACAUCCCGGAGACCCUUAGGAAACUAGGGGGUGCUUCCAUCUGGAAGAAUCUGGAGACAGGUGCUGCAUGGCUGUCGUCAGCUCGUGUCGUGAGAUGUUGGGUUAAGUCCCGCAACGAGCGCAACCCUUGCCUUUAGUUGCCAGCAGUUCGGCUGGGCACUCUAAAGGGACUGCCGGUGUUAAACCGGAGGAGGGUGGGGAUGACGUCAAGUCCUCAUGGCCUUUAUGACCAGGGCUACACACGUACUACAAUGGCCGAUACAAAGGGCAGCGACACUGCGAGGUGAAGCCAAUCCCGUAAAAUCGGUCUCAGUCCGGAUUGGAGUCUGCAACUCGACUCCAUGAAGUUGGAAUCGCUAGUAAUCGUGGAUCAGCAUGCCACGGUGAAUACGUUCCCGGGCCUU
rnacentral:rRNA from 1 species